UACGGGGGGGGCAAGCGUUGUUCGGAAUUACUGGGCGUAAAGGGUUCGUAGGUGGCCAACUCAGUCAGACGUGAAAUCCCUCAGCUCAACUGGGGAACUGCGUCUGAUACUAGAUGGCUCGAGUGCAGGAGAGGAACGCGGAAUUCCAGGUGUAGCGGUGAAAUGCGUAGAUAUCUGGAGGAACACCGGUGGCGAAGGCGGCGUUCUGGACUGCAACUGUCACUGAGGAACGAAAGCCAGGGGAGCAAACGGG
rnacentral:rRNA from 1 species